AAAAUACUAGUCAAUUUCUUCGGUCACUUUUUUGGACUGUAACUGAUAUGGUUAGGGCCGGGCAAAAUAUUCGUUCGAUCCGCUUCGAUUCGGUAUUUGAUUUGAUUUGAUUCGAAAAAUCCAAAUAUCCGUAAGAUUUUGGACCAAAACAAAUAGGAAAAUGUAGUAUUCGUAAAAACCGAAUCAAAUAACGAAUAUUGUUUUUUAAAAAAUCGAAUAUCCACUUCGAUCCGUAUCUUUUUAUAUAUAUUAAAAAUAUAGUUAUAUCUAUAUAUAGAUAUCAUAAAUAGUUUGUGUAUUGUUGCCAUUUUAUGUUUUUAUGUU
rnacentral:sRNA from 1 species